AAUCAUCAACAACUUGACAAUUGGCUUUUGGGACAUAUUUCCCAACAACUCCCAUUUGUCCUAAAGCCACUCGGCACAGUAUCUACUGCCCAUCUUCGACUUGUGAUUGUCGAACUCCUUUAUUGCUAGGGCUUUAGUGAAGGGGUCGGCUAGGUUCUCCUUUCCAUCGAUCUUCUGAAGAUCAACGUUACCUCGAUCCACGAUCUCUCAGACC
rnacentral:lncRNA from 1 species